UUCAUAAAGGCAGACCUGCGACGGCAGAAGUCUAACCAGCAGGAAGACACACAGGUAUGAGCCAUAAGUGUCUGCUUUAGUUGUUCCAUCCACUCACAACUGAAUGGAUUUCAGACAACUCACUGCUGGUUUCAUCUUUUUGCUUCACUCGACAUGCAUUAUGUACUGUGUAUGUUUAUGUAUGAGUGGAUAUCUGAGGCUCUCUGACCCUCUUCCACUCUGUUUGGGACUAGCAAACACCAGCUCUACUGAACUGCACACCAUUUUACUGAGGAGAACACUUCUUUAUGAAGCAGUCAGGACACAAAGAGGAAGGAAUAUCUUCACCAUGCAAAGAGGUCAAGGUCUAGGAAAAAAAGGCUUCUGAGCAGCUCUGUCUUACAUGCCCAAACCUAUUUGUUUACACAGGUAUACAGAGAGAAGGGAGAUUCAUCAUAACCACACAUACAUACAUUCUACACAGAAACAUCCAUAUCCUUUUGUGAGGAAAUCUGAUUAUAUAUGACUAAGCUGUGGCUAACGUCUGUUGAGUCACUAAAGAGACAUUAUGGUGGGCAAAAUUAUACUAUUCAUUAAAGAUAUAUCCCAUACUGCCAAAAGGACAGCUAGAAUAUCACAAUGUUUGUAAUGCGAUUUUAUCUAAUAAAAUGUAAGCAUAGCUUUUCUCCAGAUUGUGAUGACAUGUAAUUUGUAGCACUGGUAGGAUUUUAAUAUACAUUCAUUUGUAUGAUUAAUUGAGUGCUGACUGUCUAGAUCACGCUUUACGCUUGGGAAGUAGGUCACCACCGUAAGUUUUAUUUUUGUUCCUACAGAUUUCAACCAUCUCCAAGUCUUUUUUUUUUUUAAACAGGAUCUAUAUGUUUAUAUUGAUGAAUGUCUUAAUGUGUACGGUGUGCUUUAUGUUUAGACUGUUUUAGGAUAAAGGUAUGGGCAGAUUCAGAGAUGGUGGUGCUCUUUGGUCACCCAGAAGUAGACAGAAUGAACUCACUUGACUAAGUUUUUCUGCCAAAUGCUUCUUGUUGAAGAUUACUGAGGAGGUAACCUGGAGUAGUACUGAUUUGCUGGUCCAGUUGAUGUUGCACAUCAAAGUAAUAUCUUUGAUCCAGGAAAAGGUUAUGUUUUUACUGCAUUUUAAAAAAUGACCACAAAGACUAUAUUUUCUGUCAGAACUGGAGGCAGUAAUAAUGUGCUUAGUUUAUUUAAAACUACUAGCAGUUCACCUAGCUGUCCCUAUGUGGGAAACACUAAUUUACUUAAAAUGUUUAAAACACUUUCAUUCAGAACCAGUUUCUUAAAGUUUCUCUAUGCACUAUACAGAGCUACCAGUAGAAAUUGACCUAUGCUCAUAUUUAAAAGCGAGUCAGCCAUGCAGAAGACAAGGUAAUAAUAAUGCAUACAUUUAAGGCUAACCACACAUAAACAUUUAACCUACCAAAAACACAUAUUAGACCACUAAACAAUGGCAUUAGUUAUUUAAGUUAGCAAUGGCAUUGGUUGUGUUAGCAAAAGGGGGGCAAUGCUAACUAGAUUACACAAGCUUGAAAAAUGAAAAUUAUAAACAGUAAACUGCUCAUUUUUCAAGCCUUUUAAAUCCAGCUUUAAUGAUAUGAUGAGGCACAAUCAAAAUGACAUAAUUCACAUGUAGUUUUGUCUCCAAGGAAUUAUUACACAUGUGAGUUUUCUUAAUAUGGAAUGUAAAUGAUUACACACACAAAGAAAAACCUUUUCUCAUGCCAAAAGUGAGAGAGCAGGGAACAGGAGUGAGAUGAGAAGAACAGACAGAAAGAGUGAAAGCAAAUGGAGAACAUGGGGAGUAAGAGUGAGAGCAAAACAGACGUGAGAAGAGCACCCAAACCAGGGCCUUUUACAAAGAGUAUAUAUCCAUAAAUCUACCCCUCUGGCUGACUAUCAAACAAAGGGGUUGUGCUCUGCCCCCUUAAUUCUGUGUGCCCCAGUACAACAGGUAGUAUAGAAAUGCUCUCUGCACCGACCCACUUCACGUAUUGAUACACUAUAUACACUAGUGUCAAGGAAAAUAUAGCUGUUAUGUUCUUAAAUUAUUUUACAAAGUGCUUAUAACAUUGUGAGACUUAAACAUUCAGUGCUGUCAUAUUUCCAUUCAAUUGUAAAUUAACUUUCUUUAAAAAAUCUGUGGUGUAUUCAGAUCUGUUACAGAACAAUACUGUUCAAUACUCCAGUACUCUUCUUAGAAGAAAAUAAAAUUGAACCAAAUUCCCAUG
ensembl:lncRNA